rnacentral:lncRNA from 1 species
CAAAGGUCUUGGACCUUAAAAUCAAUAAUUAUCGGUAUUAUGGCCCCAUGGUUCUUUUACUCUCUGUGAGCAUCCGAUAUAACUGUGGCCAUCCAGUAUUUCCUAUGGUCAUCUGUCAUUGUCUCAGUGGACAUUCAAGUAUUAUCUGAUGUGUCAUCAAGAAAGAAUAAAGACAUAUAACAGUA